GAGGGUAUAAUUCAGUGACAGUACAUGCUUAGCAUGCAUGAAGUCCUGGGUUCAAUCCCCAGUACCCUCA
rnacentral:tRNA from 1 species